rnacentral:rRNA from 1 species
GAUGAACGCUGGCGGCGUGCCUAAUACAUGCAAGUCGAGCGAACAGACGAGGAGCUUGCUCCUCUGACGUUAGCGGCGGACGGGUGAGUAACACGUGGAUAACCUACCUAUAAGACUGGGAUAACUUCGGGAAACCGGAGCUAAUACCGGAUAAUAUAUUGAACCGCAUGGUUCAAUAGUGAAAGACGGUUUUGCUGUCACUUAUAGAUGGAUCCGCGCCGCAUUAGCUAGUUGGUAAGGUAACGGCUUACCAAGGCAACGUUGCGUAGCCGACCUGAGAGGGUGAUCGGCCACACUAGAACUGAGACACGGUCCAGACUCCUACGGGAGGCACCAGUAGGGAAUCUUCCGCAAUGGGCGAAAGCUUGACGUAGCAACGCCGCGUGAGUGAUGAAGGUCUUCGGAUCGUAAAACUCUGUUAUUAGGGAAGAACAAAUGUGUAAGUAACUAUGCACGUCUUGACGGUACCUAAUCAGAAAGCCACGGCUAACUACGUG